CGUUUUAGCCCUUACUUCAUCUUAUCCGCCUUAUUCCUGCCGUCUCUUGUCUUCAAAGUCAAACAAACCCUCCCAAAAAGCAAGAAUGCAAGCACAACCAAAUCCUCUUUAAGAAGCCCAGGACAGGCGGGAAGGCCUGCAGUAUGUGUGGGAGUAUCAAAGCCCAUCCAAGUCAGUUCCUCAUUAUCAGUGUGAACUGUGUAAGGUUCGGAAGGUGCAGAAUGAAAUGGCUGCUCAUAUCUCGGGCUGGAAGCACGGCUUCAGAUACAUGAAACUGAACCACAAAAACAAGGUUCCUCAUAAGGAGGAGGCUGUAGUUAGAGAUCCAGCCAUCCGAAAAGCUGUUGCAGCUGAAGUGGAAAAAGCAGAGGGCAGAGGUCAAAUUAAGGGAGCCUUGUGAGGUCAUGGCGUUUAAGGGGAUGGGUGGCCCAUUUGGAGGGCCCUUUCCAGACCCCAUGUACAAUGGGGAAUUCUCUCCCUGAAGUGGGUUGAUGUCUGAUUUCCCUCCUGGUAUGCGUGGGGGUCUGGUCACUAUGAAAACGGCAUGUCUGGGCCAGACAGGGGGAUGAUUGAAUCAGAGGGCAUGCAACGUUUCCCUGACGAUGGACCCAAGUCCAUGGGCACAGACGGCAUUGGGCUUGGCCAGCGUAGUGACGGGAUGGGCAGACCUUUCCCCAAUGAUGUGCCCAUGAACAGCAGUGCAGACAAAAUACACCUGACAUUGACCUGAAAGGCCUUGAGGGAAAUAGCAUCCCUGCAACUCUGCUCAAAUAUCUGGUACUUGUUCUCUCUUGCAUAUAUAGUUCAUGUUGAAAUGCUUAAUUUAUGAACCAUUUGGAGUUAUAAGACUUUGUGUGUUUGUUUGUAGGACUCAUUUCGUAUUGAGAAUGAGGAUGAUGCUCAGAUUGUCCUAAAGGUCACUCAGAAGCUCACAGAUGUUCUUCUGGAGUACCACCUUAGGAGUAUUUAAUAAAAGCAUCAAAAUGAAAAAAAUAAAAAAAUAAAUAAAUUAUGUAAUUAUGCAUAAAUGCUUUAUUUAAUGAGACAAAGGACAAAUAUGUCCAGAAACUUGUAGUACACAAAUUUGUCAAGUGUAAUUUAGCUUGUUUGAUUGUGAAGGAAUCACAAGUUUUUCUGUUUUUAUUUUUGUAUAAUACAUAACUACUGAUUGAACGCUUUGAUGCACACUCGCCUAACACAGGAUGUGGUGAAUGUUUUAUGACUUACUUUCCUUCAAGGUGCUGAGAGACUUUGAUAGAUAAAAAUACAAUAACUGCUAAAUGUUUUGGUGCAAAAUAAGCAUUUACCCAAAACACAAAGAUAAAACCUCAAAUGUAAUAAAUACAAUUGAGAGACACAAACUUGUUGUCUCUUGUAUUCUCCAACUAAUUACGAUGAUGUUCAGAGAGCUGUGGUCAGGAGACAUAAUUUUCCAGAGACCUUUAUUUGCAGAUUAUCUCCUACAUGUAGGCUAAAAUUAAACAAAUACUUAACACUCAUAAUUUCCUUUUGCCUUGCUAUUUAUUUAUUUAUUUGUCUCUGAACUAAUGUAUCUGAAAAUAUUACUUGAACAAAAUUUGUGGCUAAAGAGCAUGAAUAGAAUGAACACCAAGAUCUAAGGAAGGACAAUAGGUAAUUUAUCACAUGAUUAGACAUGUCUUUGAUCCAUUUGAUGAUUGUCCUUCAGUCUUGUUGUAGUUUUCAGUCUGAAUGUAUCUGGAAUUAUUUUCAGGUGCCCAGUUUGAAGUCCAUGCCCUCAAGCUCCUUAAGCAGCAUGAACUACUCCUCAUCCUCUCGUCUCCCACACAGCUCUAAUGACAGAUUCUCCAGUGGCAUGUCAGGUCCAUCAAGAUUCUACAACUGAACAUUCAUCUGAUGAGAAUUCAGUCAAGACUGGAUGUGACCCAUCUUUAGCUAUAUUUGACAUAACUUUUUCUGUUCAUAACCAAACACUUCUUUUCUCGACUUUUAGGCUGCUUUGUUUUUACAAUGUAUACGUACAUUUAUUUUAAUGUUUAUUUUUCCCCCUUCUCAGACAUUUUCAGCUAUAUUAAUGAAUAAAUUGUUACUUGUGCUUUUUGAUAGCAACACAAGCUUCGACCUAAAUUAGAAAUUAAACUGUCUGUAAGUGAUAUCCUAAUUUAUUAUGCGUGCUUGUUUGUGAAGGUCUGUUGCCAUAACAUUUCAAAUAAAUUGAUAGUUAAAAGCCAGUUUCUUAUCAUUUGUAUGUAUGCAAUUUCUAUAUCCCUCUUACUUGAAGAUGUCCUCACUUCAGAAUUUAGGUUACAUGUGAUUUGACCUCAGUAGAUUUCUCAUGUGAUAUUAACUCAGCAAAAAGGUUUGUUAGGGAUGUAUUGUAUAUAUUGUAUUUUGCCUUGAUCUUUGUAAUAUAUAUUCCUUCUAAUAAAGAAAAAAAUAUAACCUUAUUGUAAAGUGCUAGUCUGUAAUAAAGUUUUAAAGUUAUAGGCCUGG